CACAAAACAAGGUGUUUUUAUUAUUAAUAAUAACAUUAAAUAAGGGAGGAGCAUACAUAUUUAUAAUAUAUUUUCUAUGCAGUGUGAUAUUAACUCAAAAGUCACAGUAGUUACUUGAAGCAACAAAAAUGGAGGAAGAAACAAGAUUCCACUCUCACCAACCACUCUAAUAGGUACUGUCAUUCCGUAACCAGCUAACAGUUGGCGGGUCAUCAACUGCCUCACCAUCAAGGAAGAAAUCAUCAAAUAAAAUGCCGGUC
rnacentral:lncRNA from 1 species